rnacentral:tRNA from 1 species
ACCUGUCUGGCUCAUUGGGUACAGCAUGUGACUCUUGAUCUUGGGGUCAUGAGUUCAAGCCCCAUGAUAGGUG